UACGUAGGGGGCAAGCGUUGUCCGGAAUUAUUGGGCGUAAAGGGCGCGCAGGCGGCCUGGCAAGUCUCGGGUGAAAUCCCUCGGCUCAACCGAGGAACUGCCCUGGAUACUGCCAGGCUCGAGGCCGGGAGGGGGUAGCGGAAUUCCCAGUGUAGCGGUGAAAUGCGUAGAUAUUGGGAGGAACACCAGUGGCGAAGGCGGCUACCUGGACCGGUUCUGACGCUGAGGCGCGAAAGCGUGGGGAGCAAACAGG
rnacentral:misc_RNA from 1 species